UACAGAGGGUGCGAGCGUUAAUCGGAAUUACUGGGCGUAAAGCGCACGUAGGCGGCUUGGUAUGUCGGGUGUGAAAUCCCCGGGCUCAACCUGGGAACUGCAUCCGAAACUGCCUUGCUAGAGUAUGGGAGAGGGAAGUGGAAUUUCCGGUGUAGCGGUGAAAUGCGUAGAUAUCGGAAGGAACAUCAGUGGCGAAGGCGGCUUCCUGGACCAAUACUGACGCUCAGGUGCGAAAGCGUGGGGAGCGAACAGG
rnacentral:rRNA from 1 species